rnacentral:misc_RNA from 1 species
UCCUCUCUCCAACCUUCGGGCUGGGUGUUGGGCCGCGUUGUGGUUCGCCCGCAACUGGUCUCAAAGACAAUGACGGCGUCCGUGGGACCCUCUUCGCAACGAGUCUUUCGAGGCACGCGGGGAGUUGCAAGGUCUCGUCGGGCCGGUCUAACCUUUUAUUUCUCA